GAGGUACAGCCCAUUUGACUCAGGAUACAACCUUACCUAACGGGUAAAAAUUCAGUAUACAACUUUAAGUAGGCCUAAGAGCAGCCACCUUUUAAAAAGCGUCAAAGCUUAAUCACACCUUANCCAAUUUCAAACUUUAUCUUGACCCCUUUAAUCAUAUUGAGAAUUUCUAUAACAUAUAGAACCUUUUAUGCUAAAACUAGUAACAAGAGGGUACCCUCUCUUUAAUGCAAGUGUAAGCCAGCAAGGACCCACCACUGGCAACUAACAGACCUAAACUAAAGUAACAACUUCACUAGAAAACCCUNCUUUUUUAACUGUUAACCUAACACCAGCGCAUUUCAAGAAAGAUUUAAAAAAAAAGAAGGAACUCGGCAAACACUAGUCCCGCCUGUUUACCAAAAACAUCGCCUCUUGUCCCUAUAAGAGGUCAAGCCUGCCCAGUGACCCUGUUCAACGGCCGCGGUAUUCUAACCGUGCAAAGGUAGCGUAAUCAUUUGUCUUCUAAAUAAAGACCAGUAUG
rnacentral:rRNA from 1 species